AUGAACGCUGGCGGCGUGCCUAAUACAUGCAAGUCGAGCGAACAGACGAGGAGCUUGCUCCUCUGACGUUAGCGGCGGACGGGUGAGUAACACGUGGAUAACCUACCUAUAAGACUGGGAUAACUUCGGGAAACCGGAGCUAAUACCGGAUAAUAUAUUGAAACGCAUGGAUCAAUAGUGAAAGACGGUUUUGCUGUCACUUAUAGAUGGAUCCGCGCCGCAUUAGCUAGUUGGUAAGGUAACGGCUUACCAAGGCGACGAUGCGUAGCCGACCUGAGAGGGUGAUCGGCCACACUGGAACUGAGACACGGUCCAGACUCCUACGGGAGGCAGCAGUAGGGAAUCUUCCGCAAUGGGCGAAAGCCUGACGGAGCAACGCCGCGUGAGUGAUGAAGGUCUUCGGAUCGUAAAACUCUGUUAUUAGGGAAGAACAAAUGUGUAAGUAACUAUGCACGUCUUGACGGUACCUAAUCAGAAAGCCACGGCUAACUACGUG
rnacentral:rRNA from 1 species